UGCUUCAGAUAAUCAACAUUCAUUAAUCAAAAUACUUGAGAGUCAAAAGUCUAGGCUCAACAAAAGACAUCGAAUAGAGUCAUAACAUAAAGGUCUUAAGUCAAUGAAACGAAAGACAAUUAAAGGUUAAUACUACAACGGAAGUCAAAACACGGAGUUGAACCCCUAGCCUCAGCUCUCCACGUCAACACCAGCCAUCAACCUGAAAAACAUUUGAAAAUAUUUGGGCUAAGUACUAAUGUACUUAGUGGGCUGCAACUUUUAAAAGAUUUCACAAUUCGUAAGAACAGUUUAUCCAAUCAUUCAUGACAUAAUUUAGAAGGUUUUAAAGUAAAACAACUUCUAAGCAUGUUAAAACAUUUCAUUUUAUUAGCGCGCCAUUGUCACACUCUGUUUAGUUACUCGCUGUGAUACAGGACCUUUAGCCACCGACGUAUCGCUUUCUCCCAUAACACUUGCCCUGAGGACGUAACUCAGACAAGUUGAAUUGACCUCGGGACGCUACCCAGACAGGCCUUACAUGAUACAUGCUCCGGAACACAUCCAGUCAAGCACCCUUAUAACGCCUCUGACAUGAAUUAGUGCCUGGUGUACACAAUUCUCAAACAACAUGUUAGGUCAUAAGAGAACCUCGAUCGAUCCAUGAAUUGCAAGCCUUAAACAUAACAGAGCGCACAAAAAUAUUUAUUGGAUAAACAGUUUUCAAUUCAUGAAACAUUUAGAGCUUAAUAACUCAAGCAUACAUUUGAAAAAUAAGCCCACCUGAUUAGGCAAAGCCUGUCGUUUAUCUUAUCUUUGAACCGGAAUAGCCGUCCUAGUCCUCACGAUCCAAAAAGCCUACAAGAAGUCUAUAAUCUUAAUAGGUCUCCUAAAUCUAAUCUUAAGCCAUGGUAAAGUGCUUAACAUCCUAUAAUUCACUUAGCCGGGUUUUUCAAAAUUUAACGAAUAAAUAAAUAGCAGCCCAUUUCUUUAACUUAGAACAAAGGCCCAAAACAUGAUUAAAAUCAACCCACUUUCUUUUUUAAAAAAAAUGGCAGCCCUUUUUUGGCCCAAAUUAAUUAGGGCAAGGCCCAAAAUCCUUCUUCUUCAUUUAAAACACAUGAACACGCACACACCACAAACCCUCUCUCUCUCUCUCUCUCUCUC
rnacentral:lncRNA from 1 species